rnacentral:tRNA from 1 species
GCUAUUAUAGUUUAUAAAAACAUUAAUUUUGUAAAUUAAAAAAAGAAAUAGCA